rnacentral:lncRNA from 1 species
UGUACCUAUGUUAUUUUGUUAACAUGGCCACCAUCUCUCAAAUUAAAAAAAAAUAUUAACAUGACCGCUAAUCCACUAAUCCUGUUCAAUGGGAUUUGAUUGAUUCAAACAUUUCAAUUGGCAAUUAUUUUUUUUGUUUUCGUUUUUCAGAAAAAGGAGCAAGGCUCCAUCAAAUUUUAUCAAGAAAAUGGAGGUUACAAAAUAACAUCCCAAG